rnacentral:rRNA from 1 species
UACGGAGGAUCCAAGCGUUAUCCGGAUUCAUUGGGUUUAAAGGGUCCGCAGGCGGGUUAUUAAGUCAGUGGUGAAAUCCUGCAGCUUAACUGUAGAACUGCCAUUGAUACUGGUAAUCUUGAGUGUGGUUGAAGUGGGCGGAAUGUGUCAUGUAGCGGUGAAAUGCAUAGAUAUGACACAGAACACCGAUUGCGAAGGCAGCUCACUAAGCCAUUACUGACGCUCAGGGACGAAAGCGUGGGGAGCGAACAGG